AGAGAGACACGCGAGAGAGGGAACACAAGUAGGGGGAAUGGGAGAGGGAGAAGCAGGCUUCCCGCGGAGCAGGGAGCCCGAUGCGGGGCUCGAUCCCAGGACCCUGAGAUCAUGACCUGAGCCGAAGACAGACGCUUAACGACUGAGCCACCCAGGCACCCCGAUGCUGCCUCUUUUAUAUUUUCAUCUCUACAAUUUUAAUUCAGGCCUUCCUCCCCUUCUGUCUGGUGCUACUGUGAUAGACUAGGCUCUACUGGUCCCUGGGUGAGGUGAUCCAUUGGGAUAGAUAAAAGUGGCUCUAGAGAAGUCUCCUAGGUUAGAUGGAUGACUGGAGGUGUGGCCUUGGACAAGUGAUUUAACCAGUCUGUGCCUCAUUUUUCCCAUCUGUGAAAUGGGAUAAUUCCUGAACCUAUUUCAUACACUAGUAGGGCAGAGUGAGACAGAACGCUAGUUGCGUAGAACAGCGACUAGCAUAUGGUAGGGUCAGUAUUACUGUUUUUUCUCCAUUCCAGUUUUCGUUCUUGCUGGAAUUAUCUCAAUGAAACAUAUUGAUUGCUUCCACCUCAAAAAAAGAUCUAUUACCUACAGAAUAAAGGCCAAACAUCUUAGCCCAUCAUUGGAGGCAUUCCAGGAUCUGGCCCAAACUAUCCCCUCUCCCCUCAGUCCCUCCAUUGGGACUCCAUUGGAGCUGACACUCCAGCCAUACCAUAUGAGACACUGAUUUCCAACACGCCACUUUUCUCAAAGCUCCUGACCUUCACUUGUACUGGUCUACUAAUACAGAAUGCCCUUUCCUCAUUCUCUGCCUAUGGAAAUUCCUCAGAUUUGAAAAAUCCUCAUCAAAUACUAUCUCAUCCAUGAAACCUUCCAUGAUUUUCUAACUUCCUCACAAGUAGUCACUCCUUCCUCUGUGUUGUUCCCCAAACUCUUUGUCUAUAGCUCUCCCUGGUUCUUUAUAUGUUUCUGUCUUGAAUUUUGGCCUGUGUUUCCACUGCUUAGAUUCCCUGGGUACAGCAUCCCUGACUAGCAGCUGUCCUCCUUCUGUCUGAACACUGGAACUGGGGAGUUUAUCACAGCCUGAGACAGUCAAGUAGUGCCCACAGGCAAAACGUGUGUUAAAAAGUUUAUCUCCAGAGGGAGCUGAAUGCAGCCAGCACACACGAACGAGCACUCGUUCCUUAAAUAUUUAUCAACACUGAGUGUGUACUAGGUAUUGGGGACACAAAACCAGACCCAGACUCUACAUUCCUAGAACUGCUGUCCAAGCCCAUACAUCAGCCAAGUCUCUGCUCUGUAAUGUGCUCUGAUACAAGUUUGAACUGGACAAGGAACUGCUGGUCCGCACCAGCCCACUGGAACCCUCCCCCACCCUGCCCCUUGCCUUCCAUCCACCUGCACGCUGCUGGUCUUGGUGAGCCACCGAGCCAGGGAUGACUUCUCAGCUGCGGAAACAGAACAAUUCAGCCGAAUAUUUAUUCAACAUCAACUAUGCGCCCAGGAGAGGAGGCAAGACACAGAAAGCAAGUGGAGAUGAAUCGAUAGUGAAAUCAGUUGGCUCUAUACCCAAUGUGGGGCUUGAAUUCACCACCCUGAGAUCAAGAGUUGCAUGCUCUGCUGACCGAGCCAGCCAGAUGCCCUUCCAUCUUAACUAUUUCGAAGUAUAUAAUUUGGUAGUGUCAGCUCUGCUUGUGGUCCUGUUCCAAGAUAUGUUCUGGCUCCCGGGAUCCAGGAUGAAGGAGCGACCUCUGUCUGGGACACGCUGUUCUCAUCGCAGAGGAGGGAAGGGAGAAGAGCCUCCGGUGUUCCACGGAACCCAGCUGGGUUCUCCAUGAGAUCAAGGCCUCUCCUGACUCCCCUGACCAGAAAUAGGUACAUGGCAGCAACCGGCCCUCAGAAGACGGGAAAUCCGCUUUCUCAGUUUUGGCACCCAACAUGGGGCUCUUCACUGGCUAAACAGUACUCACUCCAGGGUUGCUGCCGCUGAAUGAUCUUGGGACUUGGGACAAGCACUGGCAGAAGAUGGUUAUUUUUUCUCUGAUGCUUUUGCAAAAAUGUUCCUGCAAAAGUACUUCAUCUUUAAGAAGACUUAUGGAACAUACUCUAGAAUACAGAUUUCUGAUAACUUCAAGAUCAGAAAACUGAACUGAAAUGCCUUAUUAAAUACCCGAUUUCCCGCAUCAUGCAGGCCUAACUUUGGGAUCCCAGCUGCAUCAUCACCUUCUAAAAUGAGACACAACUGUUUAACUGAACUGACCUAUUGUUCUAAUUCAAAGAAGUAAUGGAGCAAUAUUCCAAGAUGAAGACAAUCAAGGCCCAACACACUUAAGGAGAGAUUUUUACUUCCCCCUUAACUGCGUCAAAGAAUUUAGAUAGAGAACCUGUACCAGGAAGAGAGUUAUUACCAAAGAUAACUUUUUUUUUUUUACAGAAGAAAGUCUUAUCCACAUGGCAUGGCAAACAUUUGCUUACCAAACAUUUGAUCUUCCCAUCUUCCGAUGGAUUGUCUUCCUCACUUUUGAAGUCCCAGAUCCCUACUUGCUUCCCAUUAGCUCAGGGUGGCAUAUAAACCCCAAUUGCCUGACUGUGGGGAGCCUCUCAUGUCUUUGUGGGGCUCCUGGAUGUAUAUAAUUACAUUUGUUUUUCUCCUAUUAAUCUUUCUUAUGUCAAUUUAAUCAUUAGAUCAGCCAAAAAACCUAGAAGGGAAAAAGGAAAAAGUUUUUCUCCCCUAUAAGAACCUCCACCCUGUGGUUUCCCACUGAGCUUACAUCUCUGCCUCUUACCUACACAUCUGUUCCAAGCCCACUCCCUACUGUUUCUGAUCUGGGACUUUUACUUUAUCAGUAGCUCAGGGAAGGACCAAAGAAAGGGUGGGAAGAGUAAGAGAAACUGAAGAGUGAGGAAAAUUGUUAGUCCGUGGGAGCAUGGGAAGAAAGCACCUGCUGAAAUUGUCCAAAAGGUGAAGGAUGUUAAUGAGAGCACAUGGGGUGCUAUGCCCAGUAAGCGCCUUUAACGGCUUCUAGCUGAAGAAACAGAUAUUCAGAAGUCACGGAUUGAAAUGAGGACACUAUUAGUUUUCUAGCGCUGCCAUAACAAAAUCCUAUAGAUUGAGUGGUUUAAACAACAGAGGUGUGUUAUCUCACAGUCCUGGAAGCUAGAAUUCCAAGAUCAAGUUGCUGGUAGGAUUGGUUUCUUCAAGGCCACUCUCCUUGGCUCACGGAUGGCUACCAUCUCCCAGGGUCUCUGUAUCAUUCUCCCUUUGUGCCGGUCUGUGUCCUAAUCUCUUAUAGUCAUACUGGAUUACAGCUCAUCCAUAGGACUUCAUUUUACAUUAAUUACUUCUACAAAGGCCCUAUCUCUAUAUACAGUCACAUUCGGAGGUGCAGAGGAUUAGGACUUUAAGAAAUAAAUUUUGGGGGAACCCAAUUCAAUCUAUUACAGUUACCCAGCCAAAUAAAGGCAGUAUAGCCCAGGGAUUAAACAGACUAUAUUUAGUUAGAAAUACUGUGGUUAGGGGUGCCUGGGUGGUUCAGUCGGCUGGGCGGCCGACUCUUGAUUUCGGCCCAGGUCAUAAUCUUGGGGUCCUGGGAUCAAGCCCUGCAUCAGGCUCUGCACUCAGUGGGGAGUCUGCUUGAGAUUCCCCCUCUCCCUCUGCCCCUCCCCCCGACUUGUGAGCUCGCACACACGUUUUUUUUCUCUCUCAAAUAGAGAGAAUAGAAUAGAAUUCUGACUUUACACUUAAAAUCUCUUGGAACCUUAGCUUCCUCCUCUGCUAAGUGGGAAUAAAAACAAUUGCGGCUCUAGCCCUAUUACAUGAGAUGAGGUAUGCAAGCGCAGAACGUGAGGACAUAGGAAGUACGCAACGACUUUCAGCAGUAGCAGCUGGUGGUGUUUUUGUUGCUAUCUUGUUAUCAUUACCGGUUUCCUUUUCUGUAGAAUGGGGCUAAUAAAAUGCCCACAGACUUAGAGCUGCCAGGAUCGAAUAGGCUGCACGGCAAUGAGUUUAUACUCUGCCUACCACAUAGUGAGCUCUCACAAAGUGUUAAUUGUGGCCAUAGUCUUCAUAGGAUAAGAACCUAGUUUCCCUACUCUUAUCCUACCG